rnacentral:rRNA from 1 species
ACGCUAGCUACAGGCUUAACACAUGCAAGUCGAGGGGCAGCAUGUUGGUUGCUUGCAACCAAUGAUGGCGACCGGCGCACGGGUGAGUAACGCGUAUCCAACCUACCCAAUACUCAGGCAUAACCCGUUGAAAGACGGACUAAUUCCUGAUGGUAUGUAUUUUUCUCAUGAUUUAUACAUUAAAGAAUUUCGGUAUUGGAUGGGGAUGCGUCUGAUUAGUUUGUUGGUGAGGUAACGGCUCACCAAGACUUCGAUCAGUAGGGGUUCUGAGAGGAAGGUCCCCCACAUUGGAACUGAGACACGGUCCAAACUCCUACGGGAGGCAGCAGUGAGGAAUAUUGGUCAAUGGAUGAAAAUCUGAACCAGCCAAGUAGCGUGCAGGAUGACGGCCCUAUGGGUUGUAAACUGCUUUUAUGUGAGAAUAAAGUUAGGUAUGUAUACUUAUUUGCAUGUAUCACAUGAAUAAGGACCGGCUAAUUCCGUGCCAGCAGCCGCGGUAAUACGGAAGGUCCAGGCGUUAUCCGGAUUUAUUGGGUUUAAAGGGUGCGUAGGCCGUUUGAUAAGCGUGCUGUGAAAUAUAGUGGCUCAACCUCUAUCGUGCAGCGCGAACUGUUGAACUUGAGUGCGUAGUAGGUAGGCGGAAUUCGUGGUGUAGCGGUGAAAUGCUUAGAUAUCACGAAGAACUCCGAUUGCGAAGGCAGCUUACCGUAACGUUACUGACGCUUAAGCACGAAGGUGCGGGUAUCGAACAGGAUUAGAUACCCUGGUAGUCCGCACAGUAAACGAUGGAUGCUCGCUGUUGGCCUUUGGUGGUCAGUGGCUUAGCGAAAGCGUUAAGCAUCCCACCUGGGGAGUACGCCGGCAACGGUGAAACUCAAAGGAAUUGACGGGGGCCCGCACAAGCGGAGGAA